GACGAACGCUGGCGGCGUGCUUAACACAUGCAAGUCGAACGGAAAGGCCCUGCUUUUGUGGGGUGCUCGAGUGGCGAACGGGUGAGUAACACGUGAGUAACCUGCCCUUGACUUUGGGAUAACUUCAGGAAACUGGGGCUAAUACCGGAUAGGAGCUCCUGCUGCAUGGUGGGGGUUGGAAAGUUUCGGCGGUUGGGGAUGGACUCGCGGCUUAUCAGCUUGUUGGUGGGGUAGUGGCUUACCAAGGCUUUGACGGGUAGCCGGCCUGAGAGGGUGACCGGCACAAGGGGGACAGAGAGACGGCCAGGGCCCCUAGGGGGGGAAGAAGGGGGGAAUUUGGCAAAAGGGGGGGAGGCCGGAUGCAGCAACGCCGGGGGGGGGAAGGGGGCUUUGGGGUGGUAAACCGUUUUCGCCUGUGAAGAAGGGGGGGGGAGGGUAAUGGGUAAAAAAGCACCGGAUAACUACGG
rnacentral:rRNA from 1 species